rnacentral:rRNA from 1 species
GCGGAGGAAAAGAAACCAACAGGGAUUGCCUUAGUAACGGCGAGUGAAGCGGCAACAGCUCAAAUUUGAAAUCUGGCCCUGGGUCCGAAUUGUAAUUUGCAGAGGAUGCUUUUGACAAGGUACCUUCCGAGUUCCCUGGAACGGGACGCCUUAGAGGGUGAGAGCCCCGUACGGUUGGAUGCCGAGUCUUUGUAAAGCUCCUUCGACGAGUCGAGUAGUUUGGGAAUGCUGCUCAAAAUGGGAGGUAAAUUUCUUCUAAAGCUAAAUACCGGCCAGAGACCGAUAGCGCACAAGUAGAGUGAUCGAAAGAUGAAAAGCACUUUGAAAAGAGGGUUAAACAGCACGUGAAAUUGUUGAAAGGGAAGCGCUUAUGACCAGACUUUUGCCUGGCGGAUCAUCCGGUGUUCUCACCGGUGCACUUCGCCAGGUCGAGGCCAGCAUCGAUUUUCGCAGGGGGAUAAAGGCUCUAGAAACGUAGCUCUUCGGAGUGUUAUAGUCCGGAGUCAAUGCCCUUGUGGGGAUCGAGGUUCGCGCUCUGCAAGGAUGCUGGCGUAAUGGUCAUCAGCGACCCGUCU